rnacentral:rRNA from 1 species
UACAGAGGGUGCAAGCGUUAAUCGGAAUUACUGGGCGUAAAGCGUGCGUAGACGGUUACAUAAGUCGGGGUGUGAAAGCCCCGGGCUCAACCUGGGAAUUGCAUCGAGACUGCGUAGCUAGGGUGCGGAAGAGGGAAGCGGAAUUUCCGGUGUAGCGGUGAAAUGCGUAGAUAUCGGAAGGAACACCAGUGGCGAAAGCGGCUUCCUGGUCCAGCACCAGUCAGGCACGAAAGCGUGGGGAGCAAACAGG